rnacentral:rRNA from 1 species
GGUCGGUUUUUAAGUCUGAUGUGAAAGCCUUCGGCUCAACCGAAGAAGUGCAUCGGAAACUGGGAAACUUGAGUGCAGAAGAGGACAGUGGAACUCCAUGUGUAGCGGUGAAAUGCGUAGAUAUAUGGAAGAACACCAGUGGCGAAGGCGGCUGUCUGGUCUGUAACUGACGCUGAGGCUCGAAAAGUAUGGGGUAGCAAACAGGAUUAGAUACCCUGGUAG